AAUCAACGCUGGCGGCGUGCCUCAGACAUGCAAGUCGAACGAUUAAGACUUCCUUCGGGAAGUGUAUAAAGUGGCGCACGGGUGAGUAACACGUAAGUAAUCUGCCUUCGAGUGGGGAAU
rnacentral:rRNA from 1 species